rnacentral:rRNA from 1 species
AAACAAAUCAUGCAAGUCGAACGAGAAGACCUUCGGGUCUCUAGUGGCGAACGGGUGAGUAACACGUAGGGAACCUGCCCGCGCACCGGGAAUACGCUCUGGAAACGGAGAACAAAUCCCGAUGUACAGGAAGGAGGCAUCUUCUUUCUGUGAAACAUCCUCUAGGGGAUGGGGCGCGGAUGGACCUGCGGUGCAUUAGUUGGUUGGCGGGGUAAAGGCCCACCAAGACGAUGAUGCAUAGCCGGCCUGUGAGGGCGGACGGCCACAUUGGGACUGAGACGCGGCCCAGACUCCUGCGGGAGGCAGCAGUAGGGAAUUUUCGUCAAUGGGCGCAAGCCUGAACGAGCGAUGCCGCGUGAGUGAAGAAGGCCUUCGGGUCGUAAAGCUCUGUUGCGGGGGAAAAAAGGCAGCAUCAGGAAAUGGGUGCUGACUGAUGGUGCCCCGCCAGAAAGUCACGGCUAACUACGUGCCAGCAGCCGCGGUAAUACGUAGGUGGCGAGCGUUAUCCGGAAUGAUUGGGCGUAAAGGGUGCGCAGGCGGUCCUGCAAGUCUGGAGUGAAACGCAUGAGCUCAACUCAUGCAUGGCUUUGGAAACUGGAGGACUGGAGAGCAGGAGAGGGCGGUGGAACUCCAUGUGUAGCGGUAAAAUGCGUAGAUAUAUGGAAGAACACCAGUGGCGAAGGCGGCCGCCUGGCCUGUUGCUGGCGCUGAGGCACGAAAGCGUGGGGAGCAAAUAGGAUUAGAUACCCU